GUGUAGCUCAAUUUGGAAGAACGACGGAUUCCAAAUCCGUGUGUUGCAGGUUCAAGCCCUGUCG
rnacentral:ncRNA from 13 species